UCGGGAAUUUUGGGCAAUGGGCGAAAGCCUGACCCAGCAACGCCGCGUGAGGGAUGAAGGCCUUCGGGUCGUAAACCUCUGUCGGGAGGGAAGAACGGUCAGCGGGUGAACAAUCCGGUGGCCUGACGGUACCUCCAAAGGAAGCACCGGCUAACUCCGUGCCAGCAGCCGCGGUAAUACGGAGGGUGCAAGCGUUGUUCGGAAUCAUUGGGCGUAAAGCGCGUGUAGGCGGCUUGGCAAGUCGGGUGUGAAAGCCCGGGGUCCAACCCCGGAACUGCACUCGAAACUGCUUCGCUAGAGUCCCGGAGAGGAAGGCGGAAUUCCCGGUGUAGAGGUGAAAUUCGUAGAUAUCGGGAGGAACACCAGCGGCGAAGGCGGCCUUCUGGUCGGUGACUGACGCUGAGACGCGAACGCGUGGUGAGCCAACAGGAUUAGAUACCCCCGUAGUCC
rnacentral:rRNA from 1 species